rnacentral:rRNA from 1 species
CGCGAUUGGAUGAACCUAGGUGGGAUUAGCUAGUUGGUGAGGUAAUGGCUCACCAAGGCGACGAUCCCUAGCUGUUCUGAGAGGAUGAUCAGCCACACUGGGACUGAGACACGGCCCAGACUCCUACGAGAGGCAGCAGUGGGGAAUAUUGCACAAUGGGGGAAACCCUGAUGCAGCCAUGCCGCGUGUGUGAAGAAGGCCUUCGGGUUGUAAAGCACUUUCAGUAGGGAGGAAAGGGUGAGUCUUAAUACGGCUCAUCUGUGACGUUACCUACAGAAGAAGGACCGGCUAACUCCGUGCCAGCAGCCGCGGUAAUACGGAGGGUCCGAGCGUUAAUCGGAAUUACUGGGCGUAAAGCGUGCGCAGGCGGUUUGUUAAGCGAGAUGUGAAAGCCCUGGGCUCAACCUAGGAAUAGCAUUUCGAACUGGCGAACUAGAGUCUUGUAGAGGGGGGUAGAAUUCCAGGUGUAGCGGUGAAAUGCGUAGAGAUCUGGAGGAAUACCGGUGGCGAAGGCGGCCCCCUGGACAAAGACUGACGCUCAUGCACGAAAGCGUGGGGAGCAAACAGGAUUAGAUACCCUGGUAGUCCACGCCGUAAACGAUGUCUACUCGGAAUUUGGUGCCUU